rnacentral:rRNA from 1 species
AACGAACGCUGGCGGCAGGCUUAACACAUGCAAGUCGAGCGCCCCGCAAGGGGAGCGGCAGACGGGUGAGUAACGCGUGGGAAUCUACCCAUCUCUACGGAAUAACGCAUGGAAACGUGUGCUAAUACCGUAUACGUCCUUCGGGAGAAAGAUUUAUCGGAGAUGGAUGAGCCCGCGUUGGAUUAGCUAGUUGGUGGGGUAAAGGCCUACCAAGGCGACGAUCCAUAGCUGGUCUGAGAGGAUGAUCAGCCACACUGGGACUGAGACACGGCCCAGACUCCUACGGGAGGCAGCAGUGGGGAAUAUUGGACAAUGGGCGCAAGCCUGAUCCUGCCACGCCGCGUGAGUGAUGAAGGCCCUAGGGUUGUAAAGCUCUUUCACCGGUGAAGAUAAUGACGGUAACCGGAGAAGAAGCCCCGGCUAACUUCGUGCCAGCAGCCGCAGUAAGAC